rnacentral:rRNA from 1 species
AUAUUGGACAAUGCGCGAAAGCCUGAUCCAGCCAUGCCACGUGUCUGAAGAAGGUCUUCGGAUUGUAUAGCACCUUAAGUUGGGAGGAAAGGUUGUAUGUUAAUACACUGCAUUCUUUAUGUUACCAACAGAAUAAGCACCGGCCAACUUCCUUCCCUCAGCCGCGGUAAUACGAAGGGUGCAAGCGUUAAUCUGAAUUACUGGGCGUAAAGAGCGGGUAGGUGGUUCGUUAAGUUGGAAGUGAAAGCCCCGGGCUUAACAUGGGAAUUGCUUUCAAAACUGAGGAGCUAGAGUACGGUAGAGGGUAGUGGAAUUUCCUAUGUAGCGGUGAAAUGCGUAGAUAUAGGAAGGAACAUCAGUGGCGAAGGCGACUGCCUGAAGUGAUACUGACACUGAGGUGCGAAAGCGUGGGGAGCAAACA